rnacentral:tRNA from 1 species
UGAACGAAAGCCAAAACAGAGGCGUCUAACUGUUAAUUAGAAGAUUGUAAAAAUUUUACUCAUUCAG